rnacentral:lncRNA from 1 species
ACUGAAUGAGAUUAGAGACACACAGGUAUUGCAGGUACAGGAUCCCAGACUCGGAAUCUGGCUUCUGGACCGAAGAGAUUUGGGGCAUUGAACAAACCCCUUCAACUUUCUGAGCCUCACUUUCCUCAUCUCUAAAAGUCUGGGGGUAAUGCUUAGUUGGCAGGAUGAUUAUUAACCUCAGAAGAGAUCAGAUUACAAGUGUCUGGCACAGUGUUGUUUAGUUAGGAUGCAUGUGGCUGCCAGAAACAAAAUACUCAACUAAAAGUGACUUCAACGCAAAGGGUUGAUUUUUCUCGAAGAACAGUAACACAGAGGAGGGAUUCCCUGGGUUGGUGCAGGAGCGGAAUGGCAUCGGAGCUCCAGCUCAGUUUCUCUGUGAUUCUCCUGGCUGCAGUAGCUCCAGGCAUCCUGUCCUUCUUCGACAAUGUCCAAAGCAGAAAAAUGGACACAUAUCUUUGCAUGUCUCUCGUCAGGAAAAGUUCAUCCCAGGAGGCCCAGUAACGUUCCUCAGCCUGAAUUGUAUCACAUGACUCUGUCUAGGCUUCAGGCGAAACUGGAAAAAAAAAAGUGAAAUAACACAAGGAAAAAAUUAUUAAGCUGUUAAGCAACAAAGCUGACAGAAUCGAGGAAUCAAAGUUGAAAAGAGAAGGGAAGUGGACAUUUUACAAAUCCACAAACUGGAUAAUCCAUUCCAAAUACAAAAAGAAGCAUCAUUUGUUUCUAAUAAACAGUUUCUAGAUUACAUAUUCUUAUUUAUAAUCUAAUCUUGUUAAAAAUUUUAUUCUACUUACAAA